rnacentral:tRNA from 1 species
CCAGAGGUGGCGGAGUGGUCAAUCGCACCAGACUGUAAAUCUGGCAGGCUAAGCCUUUCGGGGGUUCAAAUCCCUCCCUCUGGA